ACGUCCGUCGUGAAGAGGGAAACAACCCAGACCGCCAGCUAAGGUCCCAAAGUCAUGGUUAAGUGGGAAACGAUGUGGGAAGGCCCAGACAGCCAGGAUGUUGGCUUAGAAGCAGCCAUCAUUUAAAGAAAGCGUAAUAGCUCACUGGUCGAGUCGGCCUGCGCGGAAGAUGUAACGGGGCUAAACCAUGCACCGAAGCUGCGGCAGCGACACUGUGUGUUGUUGGGUAGGGGAGCGUUCUGUAAGCCUGUGAAGGUGUGUCGUGAGGCAUGCUGGAGGUAUCAGAAGUGCGAAUGCUGACAUAAGUAACGAUAAAGCGGGUGAAAAGCCCGCUCGCCGGAAGACCAAGGGUUCCUGUCCAACGUUAAUCGGGGCAGGGUGAGUCGACCCCUAAGGCGAGGCCGAAAGGCGUAGUCGAUGGGAAACGGGUUAAUAUUCCCGUACUUGGUGUUACUGCGAAGGGGGGACGGAGAAGGCUAUGUUGGCCGGGCGACGGUUGUCCCGGUUUAAGCGUGUAGGUGUGUGUUCCAGGUAAAUCCGGUUCACUUUAACACUGAGGCGUGACGACGAGGCACUACGGUGCUGAAGCAACAAAUGCCCUGCUUCCAGGAAAAGCCUCUAAGCAUCAGGUAACAUCAAAUCGUACCCCAAACCGACACAGGUGGUCAGG
rnacentral:rRNA from 1 species